rnacentral:SRP_RNA from 1 species
UUUGAGAGGCUUGUAAAUAUUCUGCUUUUCACCGUGUCAGGUCCGAAAGGAAGCAGCACAAAAGGCAUGAGUGUUGUACGAGCCUCUCUUUUUU